UGGCGCACGGGUGCGUAACGCGUAACCAACCUACCCAGAACUGGGGGAUAGCCCGCCGAAAGGCGGAUUAAUACCGCAUAAGCUCUACAACCGGCAUCGGUUGUUUAGUAAAGAUUUAUUGGUUUUGGAUGGGGUUGCGUGCCAUUAGCUAGUUGGUGAGGUAACGGCUCACCAAGGCGACGAUGGCUAGGGGAGCUGAGAGGCUGGUCCCCCACACGGGCACUGAGAUACGGGCCCGACUCCUACGGGAGGCAGCAGUAGGGAAUAUUGGGCAAUGGUCGAGAGACUGACCCAGCCAUGCCGCGUGCAGGAUGAAGGCUUUCUGAGUCGUAAACUGCUUUUAUCAGGGAAGAAUAAGGACCAUGCGUGGUUUGAUGACGGUACCUGAGGAAUAAGCACCGGCUAACUCCGUGCCAGCAGCCGCGGUAAUACGGAGGGUGCGAGCGUUGUCCGGAUUUAUUGGGUUUAAAGGGUGCGUAGGCGGCUUUAUAAGUCUGGGGUGAAAGCCCGCUGCUCAACAGCGGAACUGCCCUGGAUAC
rnacentral:rRNA from 1 species